UUCCUUCCCUCCCUUCCUUCCCUUCCUUCCCUUCCUUCCUUCCCUUCCUUCCUUCCCUUCCUUCCUUCCUUCCUUCCUUCCCCUUCUUUUCCUCUAACAUCAUCUGUUUUCUGUGGGUUUUAUGAGCAAUUCCACAUCUCUUAAGUAAUACAGAUGAUCUAAUAUCUGAAAUUAGCUCCUUCUGAGAACUGCAAUAAAUACAAUGAAUCAGGAAUAGCAUUAGACCUUUAAGAUUGUGUUGCUUAUCUCUUUGUCAUAAAACAGAUUUCUAAAGUUAAUGAUAUAUUUAUUUCUCUGUGUGAAGUUUCUAUUGUUUUUUAAGGUUAAUUUCAGUAGACUUGAAAAACUUCAAGCAAGAAAUUGAUUGUUGGCAUCUCUGAAGUGCAAGUCAUUCAAAAGAUUUUCCUUUUCCAUUGUAACACAGACUGAUGAUGAAAAUAGUCACUGGUGAAAAUAGCAGAAAAUAAUAUGUUUAACUAAAUAUUUUUAUCUGUAAGCUAGGUGAUCCUUGAGUCAUUUUAAAAUAACUGUAAUAUUGACCUUUCUUACAUCUACAUGGUGUUUCAAACAGCAGAUGAAAUCUGUCAAACUGGGAGAGAUGUGGAAAUAUGAUGCUGAAUUCAACAGGAUGUAAUUCACAAGCUGCUUAACUCAGCACACUGGGAUAUAAGAUUUACUGUCUCUCACAGGGACAAGUAGCAGUUUACUGGGAAAUACAAACAGACACACAGAAAAUUAUGAACUUUGUUGCUUUGGAAAUAUUAUGUGUAAGGAAUGAAGAAUUGUCGUUAAACACUUACUGACACUUUUAAGGAGAUUUGAGAAAGAAAGAAAAAUUGUUUCCAAACUUAAAGGUUUUAUUUCUAUAGCAUGAAAACUUGUUGCUGAGGAUAUGCUUACAAGAUAUUAUUGAAGAGAUGUCAGAAUACUAAUGAACAGUAGGAUCAUUAUGUACCAUCAAGUUCAACCUUUUGCUGUUUCAGACAACUUCUAUAGAAGCAGCUGUAGCUUGAACUUCAUUGUGUGGCCUUGAUAUAGUAUUCCAGCUCUUCAGGAAGUGUUAGAUUUGAAAAGGUUAAAAGGUAGGUGAAAGUUUAAACAUUAAAGUAAAUCAGUUUUUGGAAGAGGAAACCUCUGUAUUUAGCAAGUUUUUUUUAAUUAAUAUUAUGCAUUAAAACAUCUGAAACCUGCAAAGGAAGGGGGUAGCUUUGUAAUCUGUUUUAAAGCUUAUUAGUUUGUUCAAUUCGUUAGUAGUAGUUUCAAAGCUGUGAGUUUAAAAAAAUUAUAAUGAUAUAAAAUAAAUCAGCC
rnacentral:lncRNA from 1 species